GGGCAGCGCCUCAGUCUCGGGAUCCUUGGGUGUGGUUUUGCUGCUGGGGCCACCGAUACGUCCUGGACAGUCAGCUGCUGCCCCAGAGGGUUUACUCAUGUCCGUCUUAAUCUUUCCUAAAUAAUGCUAUAACCUUCUGCAUUCACGCACUUUAUUCAUUUAUGCAGUCACUCAUUUUUGUUGUGUGCCAGGCUUGUGCUAGAUCUCACGGAGAGUGGGGGAUGGAUAUGACCGAAAACAAAGAGGAUGUAAUACCAUAAGGAAAGUGCAUACUGGAAAAAAAGAAAGUGCUGCCUGAGGAAGUGGCUGGAGGCUGGAGCUAGGAGGAGCCAUCUUGGAGCUGGUUUAAAGGAUGGUUUCAUUUUUCAGGACAGAAUGACACGAAUACAAGAAAUAAUCUUCAGGGUUGGCUGAGACCACAUUUAUCUGCUCUCUCAAAAGCAUUAGCUCAGGCUCCAAAAGAGGAAUUACAAAUCUGAGAAG